UGACCUGGUCGAUUCUAAAAAAAAAAGCAUUGAUCUGGUCGAAGCUGAUGGCAUGGCGAGCGGCCGCCGGUCUCACUUCCGUCUACCCGGCGGCCGGAGCGCGCUGCGAGCGGGGUCUGGCAGACUGGACCCUAAUUUGCGUGAUUGCUAAGGAAAAAAAGGAGAUAUCUGAUACCAAUAUAUUAUGUUGAAGAGAUGGAAAACACGAAUCAGAGAUAUGGUGGAUGGCCGAGAAGAAUGACCGAUGCCUGUAUUCUCCUUCUCUAGACAAGUAACUGAUCAGCCAACAACGUGUGCCCAUAGUCGCUUGGAUGAAGAAAACAUGUGAUGAGGGGUUAAUGGUUUCAUUGCUCCAGUGGUGAAAGUGGUGAUGUCAACUCAACCUUGACCUGCUCCAUUCACUCGUGGUGGGAGUCACAAAUCAGAGCUAUCAAAGAAGACCAACAUAGAAAGUGCAGUGUAUUUCAUGUACACCGUGUAGAACUUUUGGAAUGUGACGAUUCAACCUUUUCCAACAAAGACAAGUGUAGUCGAUGGAGGUUGCUUUCGAUUGUUUAGCCUUGGCAACUGUUAGUUCUGGAAAAUUUUCCAAAAAAAAUAAAAUCCUAGCUGUAAGUGUUCCAUAGUUUAGUAAUACUUUUGUUGCGCACUUAUCUUCUCCUUGCUCUUAGCAAGUGCUCAUAAAAAUUAUUUUGAAGUUGUUUUUCUCUUAACGAAUAGGCAUUACUCUUGCCAAUCAACUACUACGCGUAUUCUAAUGGACUUGGACCUCUAUGGACUUCUUGUCUUUGCGAUUGUGUGUUGUACAUUGAUCAA